GCUAGAAUGCCCUUUGGGCUUAAGACAGCGGGGGCGCUUGGCGCUUAAUAGAGGAAACCCCGCCGAGGUCCGGGAUGGUCGCCCGUUGGGCGUCCUUAGGUGUGCACUUUAAGCCCCCGGCCUUGAGGCCGGGGGCUUUCGCAGUUCCCGG
rfam:Thermanaerovibrio acidaminovorans DSM 6589, complete genome.